UCACAUUGAAACACCAGUUCUCAUCUGAUCACUGAAGUUAAGCAAUGUUGAGUCUCGUCAGUACCUAGAUGGGUGACCAUUUGAGAAUAGCAGGUGCUGUAAG